GGGCGUCUAGCUCAAAUGGUAGAGCGCGCGCUUAGCAUCAAUAUUCCUAAGGGAGUUUAUCAUGCGCGAGGUACACGGUUCGAUCCCGUGGUCGUCCA